rfam:Triticum aestivum genome assembly, contig: Triticum_aestivum_CS42_TGACv1_scaffold_288976_4AL
AUUCUACUCCCUCCGUCCACAAAUACUUGUCGGAAAAUGAAUAAAAGUGAAUGUAUUUAUAAUUAAAAUACGUCUAGAUACAUUCAUUUCUCCGACAAGUAUUUCCGGACGGAGGAAGUAUUUA